rnacentral:tRNA from 1 species
GUGAUGGUGGUGUCAUAGCAAACAUUCCGGCCCGAAGAGCCGGAGAUGCAGGUUCAAGUCCUGCAUGAUGCA